GAAAAGCCAAUUAAAAAGCAAAGUAUAUAUAGUAAAAGUAUUUUACAGAGAAAAUAGCAAAGCUGAGAGCUAUUUAAAUACAAAUAUAUAGAAAUUUCACUUUUUAGGUCUUCUUUUGAAAAGCAAAGUAGAAAGAAGCGGUUGAACCGUUAAAACUAUAAUGAGGUUAAUUAAAAUAAUUAAUAAAAUUAGGUGGUACCACGAAAUAAGCCAAUUCGUCCUAUGU
rnacentral:ncRNA from 1 species